ACUGGAAGGCAGGUGUGGUCCACUCUCCUAUCUGAAUAGGAGACAUCCUUAGCAAUGGGUCUUUGUCCUCAGUAAGUUCUCCAUUCCCACAUAUUUCUGAGGACCUAGGGAGGGGAGAAGCUGUUCAGUGGAAAGUUCUGGUACUCAUUUUAAUUUUCAGGAAAAUGGAAGGACCUUCAUCUAAAUCUUUAAGUUUGCAGAAUACGGUGAAACCUGUCUGGUAAGUAGGGUGCCCUCCCUGCCGGCUUGGGUUUCCUACUUCCAUAUGGCACCGGCCCAAACUCAGGAGGAAACACCUGCUGAAUGAGUCCACAGCUACCCCUCCAGGUGAGGUCCCUAAAUCAAGACUGUUUCCAACAAUACAACCACUGGGCAGGGGCCCUGGGAUAAAGGCUUUCUCUGCUAUAUUGAGAAAGAAAUCGGCUACCACUUAGUCCCUGGAAAGCAAGACUUGUCCCUGAGCCUGGAGGGAAACUGCUGGGGAAGGAGCCCACCCAAGUACAAAGACAUCUGCCUUCCCCUCCGGAAAGAGGCCUGUUGGGAGAACAUGCCUACAAGCUCGCAGUAAAUGAAAUCCAUUCCAUCCACUCAGAAUAAUCAGCCAACCCCUCAAUUUCUCGAUGUAAGAAAUACACAAAGAUCGCCAGAAAUGAAGGAAACAAGAGCAUGAAUGAUAAUGGCCAAGAUAAUAAAGAAUAGCUGAUCCCAAAGGAGAGAGUGAUUGCUCAUGGACAAAAGAGAAAAGUAUGCUCUGUGAAAGGAGCAAUUAGGGGAUAUGAUUGAUCUCAUGGGAAUAAAAAACCAA